rnacentral:rRNA from 1 species
GAGUUUGAUCGUGGCUCAGGAUGAACGCUAGCUGGAGGCUUAAUACAUGCAAGUCGAGCGGGAUUGGUAGCAAUACCAUGAGAGCGGCGCACGGGUGAGUAACGCGUACACGACCUACCUUUGACUGGGGGAUAGCCCUGGGAAACUGGGAUUAAUACCGCAUAUAAUUCUGAUUAAUAAAGGAUUGGAAUGAAAGUUCAGGCGGUCAGAGAUGGGUGUGCGUCUGAUUAGCUAGUUGGUGAGGUAACGGCUCACCAAGGCGAUGAUCAGUAGGGGGCGUGAGAGCGUGGUCCCCCACACGGGUACUGAGACACGGACCCGACUCCUACGGGAGGCAGCAGUAACGGAAUAUUGGUCAAUGGGGGAAACCCUGAACCAGCCAUCCAGCGUG